CUCGUUGUUGAGAGAGUCUUCAUAAAUAACCUAAUUUUAGUAUAUAGAUAUAUAUAAAAAAAUACAUCAAAUAUCACAAGUAUACAUUUUUUCCUUCUAAAAUACAUCUUUUUAUGGGAUUCAAAAUCUGGUAAUUCCUCGCUAAUCCGAUGAUUACAAUAUUGGUCAGGUAAAUUAUUGCCUGUCUCAACGUAAGAAUUCUUCUUGAAAUAAACGGACUUUUUGCUCUUAGUGCACACUUAUCUUUACUCAUAAAUGUGAAAGUUGGUGGAGAACAUGACAAUAUUUUUAUGGUGAGUUUAUUUUAUGGGAAUGGAAAUGGGCUGAGAAUGAGAAUGAGUUGGAAUAAGAAUGAUGAAUGGGAAUGAGAUUUCAAUGUUUACUUGACAAAAAUAAAUGGGAAUGGAAAUGUGCUGGAAUGUCAUUGAUGUGUUUACUUGGCAAAAUAAAUGAGAAUGAGAAUCAAUUUACCAAAAUAUCCAUAGUAUUAAUAAUUAA
rnacentral:lncRNA from 1 species